rnacentral:rRNA from 1 species
UACAGAGGUCUCAAGCGUUGUUCGGAUUCAUUGGGCGUAAAGGGUGCGUAGGCGGCGCGGUAAGUCGGGUGUGAAAUCCCCAAGCUCAACUUGGGAACUGCACUCGAAACUACCUUUCUUGAGUGCCGGAGAGGAAAGCGGAAUUCCUGGUGUAGAGGUGAAAUUCGUAGAUAUCAGGAGGAACACCAGUGGCGAAGGCGGCUUUCUGGACGGUGACUGACGCUGAGACGCGAAAGCGUGGGGAGCAAACAGG